rnacentral:tRNA from 1 species
GCCACUUUGGUCUAGCGGUAUGAUAGCUGACUUGUAAUCAGCCGGUCGGGGGUUCAAAUCCCUCAAGUGGCUCCA